UGAGGAUGAGUGCUUCUUGUUGAGAGAGGUUUGUGUAUAAGAGCUAAGAGGGUAUGAUCUUCUCUUGUACCUAUUUUUUUUCUCAUAGUGAAAUCUUGUGUGCCUCGUGGAGGUAGACCUUGGUCUAAUCCACGUAUUUGAUUAUGUUCUCUUUUUAUUUUUUUUCUUUCUAUCACAAUAAUUGAUAACAUAUCUCCAAUAAUUGGUAUUAGAGCCAGAUUGGUUUGGAGUACGCGAUUGAUAUCAGAGGC
rnacentral:lncRNA from 1 species